CCUGGAUGUGGUUCCGCGUGUACUUAUUAAUAAUAGCAGCGAGGACCAUGGGGAAGAAGCGAGCCAAGCUCAGCAAGCGGGGGAGGCGAAGGUUUGCUGGAAGAAGUUGCAGUUGAGAAAAGAGGAACUAUUUAGACCCCCUUAGAGUGCCAGAGCUAAACAGCACCAAAAAGAGCUGAAGUAUCUGAGUAACGGCCAGGAUUUGCUGAAGUGUUAGGAGUGAAAAAGAAGAUUUACUGCCAAAUGACUGUCAAGAGGAAGCAGGCUGAGGGGGCGAGAUGAAAUGAGGAGGAGGGCAUUGCAGGAGGUGUGAUUUCUAUCACGGGGCCAUGAGGACAAGUCGGCCUGCUUGCUGUUCCUUCCCCAAGGAGUACAUAAAUGAGUUCUUUCUGCUGGCUGGAGGUGCAGAGGCAAACACAGAGGGAGCGAGGGAUCAUUGCUCAGUAAAGGUGAAAUGUGGGCAUUUCACAGAUUCAACUGCCCCUGCUGACCUGCACUGAGCUGCAUGAACUCAUGAACAAACUCAGCUCCACUGUACUGUACUCGCUGCACUGACUGACUCUGCAUGAGCUGCUUUUAAACAACUUCUAUUUCUUGUGCUGUUCUCAUGAGAGGUUCUGAAUGGAGACACCUCCUUCUCAAGUAUCCAGUGGCCUUGCCUAGAGGCAGUUGCAGGAUGAAGCUCCCUCCUGCUGGUAACUACUAUUUCAUCUGUCUAGGAGAGCCGGAGGACCAGGAAGAGAAGGGCAAGCACAAGAGGAGUGGGAGGUGUGUGUGUGUGUGUGUGUGUGUGUGUGUGUGUGUGUGUGUGUGUGUGUGCGCGCGCGCGCCAAGCUGCACUGCGCACUGGCUUCUAAGUGGGCAGAAGGCAGAUGGUGGUGAACAUCCAUCAUUUUCAUAGCUGUCCCGUCCACCACAAACCAAAAGUCUGGGGUGAGGAAGGCAGAUGAGCAAGCGAAAAAGGAAGUGGAGGUUUAAAGGGAAUUUUAUACUCAUUUGGUUUGGUUCUAGAAAGGGGAAUGAGAAGUGAUUUAAUAGUUGGACUGAAUUUGCUGAAAACCAAGUUUCCUCAAUUCUGAUUUCCGGUCUCUUUACCUCCCUACUAUUUUAAAGCUAUUGUGUAGAUAUAAAGAUGAUGAACUAAGAUUCCGUUUCCUUCUCUAAGUUGAACUCAGUGGUACCUUCAGUAAGUAUGGGAUUUAUAAGAUAUGUAACUUGGCUUGGUGUUUCUAGACUUGGAACUAAGGUUUUCAGCAGAGGAAUGCUGGUUAGGAACCUGAUGGGUCUUAUUUUAAAUUAUUAAAUGGAACGGAUAUUUUUUUUCAGAUCCAGAAACGAAUGACUAACUGGAAAUUUGUGUUUGUGUUUGUAGUCUUCAAAAACAGUUCUAUGGGAAAUUAUGGAAGUUUGGUUACAUCCUAGGGCAGUCUGGUGUAUAGUCAGGGGCUCAGUCAGUAUUUGUGGGACACGUAAGUGAGGGGCUGGAGCAGGUAGCAUUCCUUCAUUGACUGACUACAUUCAUACUCUUGAUACAGCUGUAGGACCCAGUCAGCUACCGGUCCGAGAACGCGUUACUGGUAAUUUGUUACUGUACAACUCACAGGGCAGCUGCUCGUUACAACACACGGAUUAAUGGGGCCAACGGCCUCGAUUUGGUGCCUCCAGGGGCCGGUUAUCUCUGUUCUACUUUGUGGCUGCCCCAGUAGCCCAUAACCUUUGCCAGCUGCGGCUUAUCGGGUCAUGUUCUUUGUCACAGAAAGGUCCAGGAAGGAGAAUGGGGGCAUUAGCUCAGACCCGCACCACUUUGGAAGAGAGCUCAGGCACGUGCUCUGCAGAAAGGUCAGUUUUAUACUUGAGAAGUGACAUAAGGACUUCCUGGAGCCCCUCACACCGUACACUCCAGCCUGGUGAGCUUCUCAGUGUACAAUGGUUUGAUCCAUGUCGGCCAUAGACAAGCGCUCCAUUUGCUGAACACAGAGUCAUGCCAAAGGCCUGACUUGAGAAAAAUGAUCAGCUCGCAGGAUUCAAAACAAACGGGCAUAUUACAACCACCUACCCCUUCCAGGAAGUCCCUUUCUGCUAAACCUAUAUAUUUCACAUGAAUUCAACAUUACCUAGAAACAUUCUUUGCAUAAUAGACUAUUUUCUUCCUGGCAAGCCUUGCCUUGAUCUGCAUUAUCAUUUAGGCCCCAUCUGAAAACACCAUUAAUUUAAAUAAGCAACAGAGACUGGAAUAAAAUUCCAUUCGUGCUUAACUCUCCAAUGCGGUUUGAAAAUGUUUUCUUCUCCAGCCCAGUCUUAUGUUACAUGCUGGAUGGUCUUUUCUUUGACCACCUCAUAAAAAAGAGCUCAUAAAUACUUUUCAUGUGUUAUUUAAACUAGCAGGACUCCCUGAGGCCCUGCACUCCUAUUUUUUUAAGUCCUUUGUGUAUUUCAAAGGGCUUUCUAACCCAGUCACAGAGGUAAAAGUGUCUUCUAACUUGAGAGAGCCAUGUCCUGUCACUAUCAGGGCAUCAAGUUCCUCCACUGCUGAAACAUUUUUUGGCAGAAUGCUGCCAAGGUAUAAGAUGCUUUCUUGCCUGAGUGCUCCUUUGUGAGAUCUGUGCCAGUGUAGGAAUAUACGUGCCUUUUCUGAUGCAUCUGAAGCUGGAAUUGGGGUCUUUUGGCUAUACGUGGCAUGCUGACAAACAAGAGCUCUGUUUCAUCAUAAAGGUGAAUUAACUUCUGAUUAAUGAAGAAGAAUCCAGAAGAGAGUGUCUGGCUGUGUACAAAAGUGGUGUGUGUGUGUGUGUGUGUGUGUGUGUGUGUGUGUGUGUGUGUGUGAGUGACAAUGUCUUGGCUCAUGAAUCUCCCCCCACAGUGUCUUAGUGCUUGUAUUUUUUGUUAUGCUGUCCUCUCCCACUUUGGAAUAAGCUUUAGCGGGUUCUGUAGUCCAUUCAAGCAUUGCACCCCUCACUUCACCUUCACAUGAAUCUAUGGGUGCUCUCAUCCCCACCUAUGUCACAGCUUUGUAAUAGAAUAAGUUCAUAAAGGCAGUUAGAGACUACCUAGUUCAGCUUCUGUCUAUGUACAGAAAUCCUUUGAUAUUCCCCACGGGUUCUCCUUCAAUGUUGUUUCAGUACUCUUAAGUAAACACACAUGUUCUCAUCUGUAUGGACUGUACUUACCACUUAAAUUAUUACAGAGUCUUUUAAAAUUUUAUUUAGGUAUAUAUGCUGGCAUGUGUGUGUGCACACAGGUGAGGCCAGAAGCGGGCAUCAGAUCUCCUGAGCUGGAGCUAGAAGCCAUUGUCUUCUUCUCAAUGAGGAUGCUAGGAACCAAACUCUGGUCCAUUGCAAGAACAGCACACACUGUUAACCACCAAGCUAUCUCUCUCUUCCCAGGAAUUUCUAAAUAUGGGUAGUACCAUCAAUCCUCUGAAGCCACUCAUGGCCAAGACAGAAUUCAUGGGCACUUACUCCAAUUUGUCUUUUGAUCAUUGUCAGCUGGAUUUAUUUAACAUUCAUUCAUGGCGUGAUAAAGACAAAAGAGAUGAAGUACAUGUCCCAUGGGUUCCUCAAACCACACAUUCCUAAUGCACUUAGAAGGAGACCUAUCAGCUUACUUAUCUUUAGAUGACCCCUGACCUUCAUGAGUCUUACCUCGGGGCUUCUCUUCGUGUGGUCUCCAGAGCAGCAGUGGUUGUCUCCGGUGGGAAUGCAGGUCUCUAGACCCUGUCCACUAAAAGUGGACCCUAGUGAUUGCCACAGUGAGUCCUUCAGGUGACUCUAAUGCAUGUCUAAUUAAGAAAAAAGGGUCUAAAUGUAAUUACUCUAUCAAACUAGAUACCUCGGCUUUCUCAGCCUCUUUCUUUUCCCCUGUCAUGAAGUUUUUAACAUUUCGAGGAUUGUCUUCAAGAUCUUCAGUCUCCAUGUUUUAAACUCAGACUCCCUGGGUCUCAUCUGAUGUUUGGUGGCAACUCCUAUUUGGUUCCUUAGCCAGUCUUACUUUCCAAGACAAUUUAUCCUGUAUUGAAGAUCUGAUGGUUUAGGCAUAAAACAUCCCACUGAUGACACACUGUUAGCACAUACAUAGUAACUCCCCUGAGUGACAGAAGGCCUGCUAGAUCCUCAUCUCUGCAUCCUGUGUGGUCACUCACUGCUUUCCGUCUACCCUUGGUCACACAUCCCUAUCCCUGCUAGACUCUAUUGGUCCAAGCACAAUGCAUAACAUUGGAAGAAUGCUCACCAUGUCAGACAUCCAUCUAGAUAGCUGAGAGUGAGACUUACAGUGUGUGCCUGGUCCAGGGUCACAGAGCUGGACAGCCAUGGAGCUCAGGAUGAACCUACAUCUCUUGGCUGACCAUCUGGGGUAGUUUCUGUGUUUACAAACCUCCGCUUGCUUAAUAUGUUUAGUGGCAGGUGUAAGUGGUGGGUAGGUUUUCUUCUCUUUAGACACUACCAGUGAAGUCCAGGAGAUUUGAUUUAAUCCGGGCAAAGCAGGAACCUUCGAAUUUUUCAGCUGAAAGCUGGAGAAACCUGAGGAGCGUUUUGCACUGUUGGCGUCUCCUGCUGAAUUCCCAUACUAUCAAGAUUCUCUUACAACAUCUGGCCAUUUUACAGGGGAUUUCAUGGAGCAAAUCAAUUAACAUUUUUAAAAGUGGGAUAGAGAGGAAGGAGAAGAGUGUUUGAGUGGCACCAUAGCAGUGUGAGAAAUCCCCUAGGAGGCAGCUAAUGGCAGGAUUGCACAAAACCUUGUAAGGAAUUGUGUCCAUAUAACACAGCUUGUUCUUAAGCAAAUAGAUAGAAAUGACAUGCAUUUAAGGAGAUAGGAUGUUUACCCUGCUUUAAACUUACAUGAUGUACACAUACAUUGCAGCAAUACAUGGUGCCCUGUGAAUAUGUAUAAUUUUUGUGUCACCAGUUGAAAUGAGUUCACAUUAAAUCCAUAUGUAAACAAUUUAAGUUUAGAUGAGGGCCAUUUGAUUCUUUGGGUUACAGACAACACAUACAUGUACAUAGUUCACUAUGACUAUCACGGUUACACUACUGAUAUAUCUUUUUUUUCUAACAGUGGGGGCUCAGACCGGGACCAUGGGUUAAGAAGUUCUUAGCUGGACGUCCUUGGGUGGUUCUCUCAGGAUGUAAUCAUUGGAUUCCAACUGCACAGUGCAGGAGGAUCUUGGCAGUCACUCUUGUAAACACUUGACGAGUGCUUGAUGUACUCAAAACAUACAGGCUCUUUCCACUUGUGAGCUUACGCCCUGGUGACUCACUUCAAACACUCCAAACUCCCAUUCCCAUGGAGUGUCUGCAGCAUGUGCACGGGCAGCAGAGCCCAGUGCCAUUUGUCUACUGCUGUACUGAGCAGUAAAUGCCAGACAGUUUCUAAAGGCCCUAAAAUAGAGCUUCACACAGCACCUGCUUCACCUUCUUCAUAGCAGGUCUCAUCGCUUUGUUUUGCUCUGAUUAGGAGGGACUCCUUUGUAGUAAGGAAUGAUCACGCUUCUGUGUGUGUGUGUGUGUGUGUGUGUGUGUGUGUCUAUGUGAGCAUGCCUCUCUCUCUCUGUAUGUCUCUCUCUCUCUCUCUCUCUCUCUCUCUCUGUGUCUCUGUGUGUGUAUGCCUGUGUGUCUGUGUGUCUGUGUGUCUGUGUGUCUAUGUGAGCAUCUCUCUCUCUCUCUCUCUCUCUGCGUGUGUGUGUGUGUGUGUGUGUGUGUGUGUGUGUGUGUGUUGAGAGCAGGACUGAGUGAAAGAACGUGUUCGUCAUCUCUAUCACAAAUUACCAAGUCUGAAAUCAGCAAAGCAGAUUCCCGUGAGUCUGUUUUAUUCUUUCUCCCCACACAUGAAUUUCCCAUUUCAAGUCAGGCCACCAUUAAGACAGAAAGUCCAGGGGUUACUUUCAUCUGCCUUUUCAUACUGAAUUUAUUGCUUUAUCUGUAAUAUGGGGAUUAAUAUAUUGGGUUUAUGACCUUCCUAGGGCACUGUGCGUAUCCAAUAGCUCAUAAUGUGAACACGCAGAGCUCCAAAUGUCAUUGGAUGUAAGGUAUGGUUAAUAUGACUUUAUUAAGAGUUCUAAAGAAAACACUAUUCUCUGACACUCCACAUUUGUGGGACAAACAUUAGGAUCUUUAAUUAAAAUGACUUUGAGAUCACAAGGUUUGACCUAACUUUAAUCACCUCUCAAAUGUGAUCAAAUGAAUUUUCCAUUAAGAACCUUUUUAACAAUAAAAGAGUCCUCAUUGUCGUUUAACAUCUAUAAACAAGGCUGAGAGAAAAGCAUGGGGGGGGGGGGGCGUACAGUUCAGUCCUAAUAGGCCAUAAAAGGAGAGUCGGUCACUCUUCUUUUAUCUGCCCCCAGGCUCUUUGAAUCUCACUUUUCAUUUAGAUAUUUACCACAUUGGUGUGCCCCCCACCCCCAUAACACAGGCUGAAGUGAGCAGCCUCCAGGGUUUCUUUCCAGUCUCUUCCUACUCAGACUGGUCCCAUCUGAGCAGUACUGUGACCCAUGGGAGGACAGCACAGCAGUCACUUCAAAACAGAGCCUUGCCAGUCUCAAGAAUGGAGCCAAGCUGAUUUUCUAAACAUUCUGUUGCAUUAAUACCUUGUAGGCCCAUGGGGGCUUUCAUCAAAACCUCUCCUAACACUUUCUCAACUGCGGCUACUCCUCAGCACAGCCCUGGGGAAGCACUCCUACAUUUCUGAGGAGUUGCAAAGGAAGCCCCCAGUCAGCUGGGAAGCUGCUGGAGAAACGGUGAGAAAAGGAAAUCUGUACCUUGAGGAAGCCUUGUUAUCUCUCAGCAUGUGCAGUCAUGUCCAGAAGUUCAUGGAGCAGGACAGUCAGAGGAGACAAGAAAGUUUGUUUCAAAUAAACUUAAAAAUGGAGUAAGAAACAGAUUGCUUUACUUUUCAUAGCUGAAGGCCUCUGUAUUUGCCAAACUAUGGAAUCAAAAGAAUCUGCCUACAAUCAACGACUGUCUGUGGCCACUGCCUGGAAUUUUCUUCGUGACCAAAUCCAUUAUUAAUAGUUAUUCACUCAAUAAACAUUUAUUGAACACAUUCCAGGUACUAUAUUUAUUCGAGAAAAAAAAUCUGUUGUGUAUAGAACUGCUCCUUGUCCUUGGGGUACUUCUAGUCUGUGUGAGAAAUGACAAUCCAUCUUUUAAAAGAGCAAUGCAUGCUUUAUAUACACCCAUUCAGUACAUAUGCGUGUACGCUUACUCCUUUACCUUCAAAAUGACAUUUACAAAACCUUUUUCCUCUACUUGAAAGUAUUUCUCUGAACAGUUGAAGCAGUCUUUGUCCUUCCAGUGUGAUCCUCCCAGCCUGCCUUAUGGAUCUACACUUUUCUUUAGUAGUCUCUGUGCCUCAGAAGCAUACAAUUCCUACAGAACUUAAAUAUUCCCUCUGAGCACGUGACACAACUUUCACGCUAUAGGUGGGUUGCGUAAAUCUAAAAAAGCAUCCCACACUAUCGCCGGCUAGCACCAGCUCGACCUGCUCUCAGUCCGGCAGACUCUGACUCUGAGCUCUGAAAACGCUCUCUCCUUCCCGCUCACGAAAUGCCCAUGGCAGGCUAUUGUCAAGCAAGCCCCACGCUCCCAGCCCCAUGCUUCCAAAUUCCCGUGGCUGGCUGGGGUGCACUCUUGCUCGGUACUUGCACUCUGCUGUAGUACCUUUUUUCUGGAACCCACUGGAGUCGAUGUGUGAAGGAAAACACCACACGAUCUUAGUUUAGAAUCAACAGGUAACACAAUCGCUGGCCCAGAACCUAGCAUCCUAAUUUUGUAAACAAAUCUGUUAAAAAUCCUCAAGUGUCGGGUACUGGUGGAUCUGCCACUCAAACUCACAGCCUCUGGCUCCCUACGCUCUGUCUGCCUCCCUUGCUCCUGCUGUCCAAAAGGGCCAUCCUUUCCCUGCCUCCCUUCUUCCUCUUCCUGAUUCGGAAGUCCUGCCUACUCGCCCACUGAUUGGUCCCUUGUAACCUUGAUUCAUUAGGGGUUAAGUCCUGCUACAUCGGUGCCUGAACCUAUUUGUUGAAUGAAUAGAAGAAUGGACAGUUCAAAGGUGACAAAUCAUGUAAGGACUACCAUACUCUAAGAUGAAGCAUCCGUCCGUUCCAUAAAGAUACCAUAGGGGGCUGGGGAUUUAGCUCAGUGGUAGAGCGCUUGCCUAGGAAGCACAAGGCCCUGGGUUCGGUCCCCAGCUCCGAAAAAAAGACCAAAAAAAAAAAAAAAGAUACCAUAGGUGACUCUUUAAGAGGACAAAGAAAGAACAAUAAUCUAAAUAAGUAAUUUGAAUAUCUAAAAGGAAAUUCCCAGCUACCUUAAGGAGAAAUUUAAAUAAAAUUUAAAUACAGCACAUUUUUCCUCUUGGAGUUUAGUCAAUAAACAACCAGAACAAGUUGUAGGAUUUUAUGGUCUUUCACACUUCAAAACCCAGACAAUGUUUCAGAUACAAUUUGUUAUUUCUAUUGUACAUUUGUCGUUAUGACAAACUUAAGAGAAUUAAACACCGAAUCCCUCCCACUUUCCUUUGCUCAAAGUUCGUGUCUGACACCUAAUUCUCAUUGUCAGUCUUGAGCUUAAUGUGAGUGAAUUCUCUGUGUUUACAUACAUUUACAGGAGAAUGUAUAAGUUACUGAUGCAAAGAUGUUAGGAACAAUAGACAUUAAAGCUUUGUACGCAUGUGUCUGUUCAGUGUUCUAUUGCUGUGAAGAGAUGACAAGGCCAAGGUGACACUCAUAAAGGGAAACAUUUGACUAGGGGACUGGCUUUCAGUUUUGGAGGAUUAGGAUGCAUGGUGGUGCUAGAAAAGUUGUUGAGAGCUGUAGGCAGAGAAAGGAGGGAGAGAGGGAGGGAAGGAGAGGGGAAGAGAGAGGAGGGAGACAAAAGAGGGAGGGAGAGG